UACAGAGGGCGCGAGCGUUGUCCGGAAUCACUGGGCGUAAAGGGCGCGUAGGUGGCCACCAUAAGGCCGCGGUGAAAGUUCGGGGCUCAACCCCGGAUCGGCCGCGGCGACUGUGGGGCUCGGGUACUGUAGAGGCAGAUGGAAUUCCGGGUGUAGCGGUGAAAUGCGCAGAUAUCGGGAAGAACACCCGUGGCGAAGGCGGUUCUCUGGGACGGUACUGACGCUGGAGACGCGAAAGCGUGGGGAGCGAACAGG
rnacentral:rRNA from 1 species